CCGUGUGUCUGCGUGGCUCUCAUUCCUUUCUUCUCAUCCGCGUGGCUCUCAUGCUUUUCUUCUCAUUCUUGGCCUGUUCUUGGUUUUGGGAGCACCGCUUCAAUUCCUCGUUCUUCUUCUUAGCUUUCUCUGGCCAGUGGCGGUCAGCAAUUUUCUCUUUUGGUUAUACUGAGUUGUGCCCUGUUCUCUCACCAUCGAAGUUCACUGAUACAAUCGCUCUGUUUUCUCCAUCUCUCCGUCUCUGCUUCACCCUACACAUCGCCGCCCUUUCAAUCACCUACUGAGAGAUGAUGCAUUCCAGUUGAACACUCUCAAGGCGCGCAUGAAAUAAUCAAUCGGAUAGCUUUGCUUUUUCUUGCUGCUCUCUCUAAGUUGCUCUACACACUUUUCCAAACCCUGUGCCAAUCCUUUCUUAUGAGAGCUGCUUGAAGGUGGGUAAAAAUAUUUUUCUGGCACCAGGUGAAGUUAAUUUUUGGGGCUUUAGCUUAUUUCCUUCCUAGCCUGUUUUUUGCCUAAAAAUUUUGCCAAGUUUGAAACCCAACCAUAGCUAAAGUUGAUAAGUUGAUUAAACUUAAUAGCCGUCUUAUUGUUUAGGGAUGAAAUUGAUUUGUACCGUGACCUUUGUUAUGUCUGGAUUAUUUAUGCUAUUUCCAGUUUUUUUUUAUUCUUUUCAAUAUGAUUUCAUAGAAAGCUUCGGUCAUGGGUUUGGCCUAAUUUUUUUCAAUUUUGAUCACUAGAAUUACGGUUUACUUAGUUUUAAGGUUCCUAACAAAUUUCUUGUAUUAUCUAAGAAUUUAAGUAAAACUCAUCUCCAGUAUCUUCGAUGCUUCCAAGUGUGGUGUUAUUCAGCUCAAUAGUGGCUUCGCUCAAACUCCUCAGAUGAGGUCUUCAUGGAAAAAUCUUUCUCAAUACAAAAGGGGAUAUAGCAUAUAUAGGUAUUGCUAUUAAUCCUGAUACCUGAACAAAGUCCGCCGAUUCAGGAAGUGAUCCAAGCUGGUGUUGUCCCUCGUUUUGUUCAUUAUCUUAUUACGGAGGAUUUCCUCAACUUCAGCUUCAAGCUCAUUAUUCCCCAUCCUGCGUACAAAAUGAAGAUUAUAUUUGUUUGGUGUUACGUAUAAAUGUCUUUUUCCAUCCUUUGCAAAUUUGUAGUUUGAGGCAGCUUGGGCUCUCACAAACAUUGCUUCCGGGACAUCUAUGCACACUAAGGUUGUAAUAGACAAUGGUGUUGUUCCCAUAUUCGCACAGCUUCUUAGUUCUCCCAGCAAUGAUGCCCGUGAACAGGCUGUAUGGGCUCCGUGAAACGUGGUUGGUGAUUCCCCAAAAUGCCGUGAUCUUGUUCCUGGUCAUGGAGCUCUAGGUCCUUUGUUGGCUUAGCUAAAUGAGCAUGCAAACUAUCAUUGUUGCGAAAUGCCACGUGGACACUAUCUAAUUUCUGCAGAGGCAAGUUUCAGCCAUAUUUUGACAAGAGAGAAUGCAAAAGUUCAGUUGGAUUACAUACUCAACGUCACCAAAGGCUCGUGUAAUUACGCUGGAUGGAUUGAGAAAAAUUCUCAGGAGUCAUUAGCGUUUAUUUUGAACCUAAAUGAAUUGGUUGGCUAUACUAUUAUAAUUGCCGUUUACUUUUGCUUUAGUUUUGUGUACAAGAUUAAUAUAGUAUAUGCUAGCCCACUAUAGCUGUUAUGUAUAUACAUAUUUUUUCAGAAACGGUAGGAAUUGUAUUAAUGAUUUAAUGCUUUACAUUUGGUGAGCAAAGGCUCCUAAAAGGCUAUACAAAAGUGUUAGAUCACAAGGAUUGUUCCAUUCCUCAUCA